GGGGUUACCUCAGACCGAACAAAUUUUUUUUUUAAGAUUCACAAAACUUUUAUCAACUAUAGGCGUGUUUUUUCUAUAACUCAGUUGCUACUCAUUUUUGAUUUUAUUCGCAAAACAAUAAUAAAAAUUACACAAGUAAGUAUUUGUUUUUAAGGCUUGGUCACACCGGAGGGUACAUGCGGGAGCGAUACGGGUAAUUGUAUGAAAUAAAUUUCAAACUGACAUAUCAACGUUCAGAUGUGGAAUUUUUUUCAUACAAUUACCCGUACCGCUACCGCAUGUAUCCUUCGGUGUGGCCAAGCCUUUAUUGUUUUUCGAAUAAAAUAAAAAAAUGAGUAGCUACUGAGUUGUAGAAAAAACACCCCUUAAAUGUAACUGCAGUCGAUUCUUAAUUCCGCUAAAGCAAAUGGUCAUUAGAACUGUGUCAGAGCGAAAAACUUGCCAAUAUCCUUUUUAAGUAUUUUUUAGGAGAGAAAUUCAUAGUUAAAAGUUUAAAAUAGAUCUGCUUACCGUAGAAGAAUUUAAGAAUGUACCGAAUAUAAAAUGGCCGAAUAUUCGGCGGCAUCUCUAGUUUAAAUUGGUACAAGGAGUGAUAAGUUGUUUAAUAUAAAUUGCGAGCGUUAACGAGCAAGAAAAUUUUUUUGAAGAAAUAAAUUUGAACCAUUAUUAGGCUUUAUACAAAAAAUUAUUUCGCACAAUUUUAUAAAUAAAAACAUUGAAAAAUGAGAUUUUUCUCCCACUAAAAUUUUGUAGCAAAAAAUUGAAAUAUUCUAUUAUAUCAAUUUAGUUCCAAAUUAAAUCGGGAAUACUUAAAAUUAAAAAUUUUAAAUAAUCCAAGUUGUUUGGCAUGAGCUAAUUUUCUAAUUUGAAACAAUUUGAUAAAUAGAAAGCUUAAAAUAUAACGAAAAAUUUUACAUAGGUACUCUCUGAAAUAAAAGGAUAAGAUGUCGGAAAGACUUAAAUAGAUUUAACGGUAAUAUUUCAAAAACGAGAUGUGAUCGAAUAUUUUUAUCUUCGGGUUCGAGUUCAGCAACCCUUUGAAAAAGUAUAGUUUAGCCUCGACACCAAAAACCUUGUAGAUAAAUACUUGUGUUAUUUAAAGGGUUCUUAAAAAAACAUUUUAAGGUGUUUCCGUAGUGCUUUAGGAAAUGAUCAAAGAGGGAGAUUUUCAGAUAGGUAAUUAAAUUACUAAAAUACAAAAACAAACCAUUUAGUACUGCAAAUAUUAGACUUGUAGAUAUUUUUUUAUAUUAUAUCUUUUGAUUUUCUGAAAAAAAAAAUUUCGGGGGGGGGGGGGUUAAACCCCCAAACCCCCCCCUAAAUACGGCUAUGUGUAUCACAAUCGAAUUCGAGAUCAGCUGGGUCAAUGUUUUCUUUUAUAAUUUCUUUUGUCUUUUCACUGUUUUGUUCAACAUUCUCAUUUGGCUUCACAAUAACGGACGGCACAAUUUUUAUUGCAACAUCUGCAUGUUUUUCUUUUCUUGUCCAAUAUGUUUGUCUCUUUUUCACUAAGGCUUUUAACAUUUUUAAUUAUGUUCUUUAUCUCAUCUUGUUUCGCUAAAGCUAUUUUAUAGCGUUUUCGUUUGGUAAUUCUUAGAACAGUCCGGGACUGUCCGAUCCGGAAUGCCAAACGAACAAACAUGGAUACUUCUUUUUGAUUCUGAAGUUUGGGUUUCUUUGUAUUUGUGAAAUGCAAAAUGCGAAUGUCUGAUGAAAGUUUUUUUUUUUUGUUUUUGCUUAUUUCGUAAAAAUUUAUGUUUUAUUUUUGUUUUCUUCACUUUAUUUUAAGUACCUGGGUGACCGAGCUUUGCUCGGUAUCCUAAAAUGUUAUAGCUUUGAGUGAAAAAAAAAAUCAAAUGUAAACAGCAAUUUUUUGGAGUGGGUUUGAGUUUGCAAUGACCAGUUUUUUCGCGGGUUACAAAACACCACAUUCCCACUUUAUAAUCAAGUUUAUUUAAGUUUGAAUAUACGACCAGCAAUGAAUAGAAGGGUUACAGGAAUCUGCAUUAUCGAAAAUGCUUACAGCAAUGAGAUCCCUUUUUGUUCAAAUUUUAAUUUACGGGUCAGAAAGUUUUGGAUGGUGAAUAUAAAGUUAAUCUUUUUUUUUUGUAUAGCCUGUCUCUGUUCUAUUCUGUAUCAGUGGAUUAAGACUAAGAUUAGGGUGAGAGGUGGGAAUAAUUUGCCUUAUCACUGCGGCCUCUGAUGGGCCUAUUGUGAUGUCCUCUUUUUAGAGUUCACGUAGAAAUCCUGAGUUUAGAAAACUUAGUAUGUUUUUGGGUGAACUAGCUAGUAUGAACUAGUAUCAGUGGAUGCUUUACUCCUUUCUUUUUUUUACUUAUAUAGGGUGUCCCAAAAGUAAUGGAUCAAACGAAAUAUGCUGAUUGGGGAACUUAAGGGCUCUCAGAAUUUGGAACCUUGUUCCUCCCAAAUCCUUACGGGUUUCAAUUUAAUGCAAUUCUUGUGAAAUUUCGAAAAAUCCCUACUUGACAACAGUAUUUUGCUUCCUGCGCCCAUUAUUGAUAUUUGUUUUUUCUUUUUAAUUCUUUUACGAAAACAUUGCCAAUAAUUAGGAACAAUUAAUUAAUCAAAAUAUUUUUUAUUCCAUACGCCAUAUUUCGCUGCAAAUUAACUAACAGUUUCAAGUUUUAUAAAAAAUCUAUUUCUAACUUUUAUUUGCGACCAACACCACAAACAAAAUUUUACGCUGUGAAAAUGGUUUAUUAUUUUAAAAAGUUGCCCUGUUAUUGUAGUUUUCAAAAAAGUAUAAAAGUUUCCUAAGUUGCAGUUAGAUCACAAAAUAUUACAAUUUGAAUUCAACAAAACAGGGUUUUUCAGAACAAAAAACAACCAACUGAAUAAAUGAUCAAUACAUGAUCAAAAAAGUCAUGAUCUAAAAAAUUUUGUUUAGUUAUUAUAACAAAAAGAAAAAGAACAAUGCGUAAAACAUGGAACCAUCCCUCAAAAUUUUAUUGAAGUCGUUGAAUCUCUCUCUGCGAAAACAAAACUAAUAUAAGAGAAAAUACUUCCAAAAUGUCUAGAGGACUUCAAAAUUUCAAAAAAAAAAAAAUCUAUGGUAAAAAAGUGGGCAUGGCAGUGGGCGGAUUUUUCCAAAAAUACUUACAAAACUUUUAACUCCCUUAGAUAAACAAGCCCUUAAAAUGUCAUCGAAAUCGUUAGAGACGUUUCCGAAAAAAAAAAACUUAAAUGUUAAAAAAGUGGGCUUGGCAGUGGGCAGAUUUUUCCAAAAAAAAACUUCCAAAACUUUUUACUUUCUUGGAUGAACAAACCCUGAAAAUUUCAUCGAAAUCAUUAGAGCCGUUUCCGAAAAAACUUAUAUGUUAAAAAAGUGGACGUGGCAGUGGGCGGAUUUUUCAAAACUUUUUACUCGCUUAUAUAAACAAACCCUGAAAAUUUCAUCGAAAUCGUUAGAGCCGUUCCCGAAAAAACUUAUAUGUUAAAAAAGCGGGCGUGGCAGUGGGCGGAUUUUUCCAAAAAUACUUCCAAAACUUUUUACUCGCUUAGAUGAACAAACACUGAAAAUUUCAUCGAAAUCGUUAGAACCGUUUCUGAGAUCCCAAUUUUAUAUAUAUUUAUAUACAUAUAUAUAAACAAUUUUAGCUCGUUUAAAGUUAUAAGAUAUAAUUUAAAGUUUGGCUUCUUAAAAAAUCUUUAUUUUCAGAAAUGAACAAUAAACAAUAACAUUUCAUUACUUUGACGUCUUAAGAGUGAAUAUGUGAAUAUGUGUGCGUGAUUCUCGUUUUGAUUCUGCCUUAAAAUUCGGAAUCGAUUUUCGCUUCUUUUCAGCAUUAGAACUGUCAUUGUCAUUUUUUUUUUUCACACGCCGCACGGUUGUCCAAAAUGACUUAUCUCGUUGCAAAAAUCAUAACUUUUGAAUUGAGGUAGCGGUACAAUUAUUUUUUAAUUUGAAGGAAAUUUCCAGGGCUGUUACACCAAUUAUAUUAUAAUUAUAUUAUAUAAUUAUAUAUUAUAUAAUAUAAUUAUAUAUUAUAUAAUUAUAUAUUAUAUUAUAGUUUCUAAUAUUUACUUCACUUUCUAAUAUCCAUUGUCCUAAAUGAGUUUCAGUUAAAACAAUUAAAUCAUAGUUCUUUUCAAUUAUUAUUAAAUGUUUAAUUUCAGUAAAGUUAUUUGUGAGUCCUUGUCUAUUUAAAAGCACGCAGUUAAAGUAUAACUUUGAUUGCUAGUAUGCAAAUUUAGAACGUUCUUGAUUAAUUAUUUUUAAAUAAACUGGACGGGCAUCAUGAUUAGGAUUAACAUCCAAACGUAGAUUUUCUAUUGCGAGCACACAAUUUUUGCAUUUUAAAACUUCACUUUUACAUUCUUCUAAUUUGUGUUCUUCAUUUCACUUUGGACAACAUACGUUUUUGGGACAUACUCUUGCACAGGACUUGUAACAUCUUCUCACAUUUAUUUUAUCGUAAACUGAACAUUUAUUCCAUCCAACAUUUAAGCACGGUUUUUCUACACCCAAAAUAUCCUUAAAUAAUUUACUAUCUACUUCAAGUAUUGCAUUAUAUUGCAUACUUAGUUGAUAUCUUUGGUAACACUCAAGGAUGUUCAUUGAACCUUCAAUUUUAUUUUGCUUUUUCAACACUUCUAUUAAAUUAUCUUCAUUAAUUUCCUUAUCAAUUCCAAUAACAAUUUUUGGUGCAAUUAAGGGUGGAAUAUUGACAUUAUAAUUGCCUCCCAAUUUUUCUUUCAAUUUGACUCAAUCUUUUUAGUAGUUUCUUCAUUUCAACAUUGUAUCACCAUAGCCGUAGCUAGGAUUUCAUUUCGGGGGGGGGGGGGGGUUACCUCAGACCGAACAAAUUUUUUUUUUAAGAUUCACAAAACUUUUAUCAACUAUAGGCGUGUUUUUUCUAUAACUCAGUUGCUACUCAUUUUUGAUUUUAUUCGCAAAACAAUAAUAAAAAUUACACAAGUAAGUAUUUGUUUUUAAGGCUUGGUCACACCGGAGGGUACAUGCGGGAGCGAUACGGGUAAUUGUAUGAAAUAAAUUUCAAACUGACAUAUCAACGUUCAGAUGUGGAAUUUUUUUCAUACAAUUACCCGUACCGCUACCGCAUGUAUCCUUCGGUGUGGCCAAGCCUUUAUUGUUUUUCGAAUAAAAUAAAAAAAUGAGUAGCUACUGAGUUGUAGAAAAAACACCCCUUAAAUGUAACUGCAGUCGAUUCUUAAUUCCGCUAAAGCAAAUGGUCAUUAGAACUGUGUCAGAGCGAAAAACUUGCCAAUAUCCUUUUUAAGUAUUUUUUAGGAGAGAGAUUCAUAGUUAAAAGUUUAAAAUAGAUCUGCUUACCGUAGAAGAAUUUAAGAAUGUACCGAAUAUAAAAUGGCCGAAUAUUCGGCGGCAUCUCUAGUUUAAAUUGGUACAAGGAGUGAUAAGUUGUUUAAUAUAAAUUGCGAGCGUUAACGAGCAAGAAAAAUUUUUUGAAGAAAUAAAUUUGAACCAUUAUUAGGCUUUAUACAAAAAAUUAUUUCGCACAAUUUUAUAUAUAAAAACAUUGAAAAAUGAGAUUUUUCUCCCACUAAAAUUUUGUAGCAAAAAAUUGAAAUAUUCUAUUAUAUCAAUUUAGUUCCAAAUUAAAUCGGGAAUACUUAAAAUUAAAAAUUUUAAAUAAUCCAAGUUGUUUGGCAUGAGCUAAUUUUCUAAUUUGAAACAAUUUGAUAAAUAGAAAGCUUAAAAUAUAACGAAACAUUUUACAUAGGUACUCUCUGAAAUAAAAGGAUAAGAUGUCGGAGAGACUUAAAUAGAUUUAACGGUAAUAUUUCAAAAACGAGAUGUGAUCGAAUAUUUUUAUCUUCGGGUUCGAGUUCAGCAACCCUUUGAAAAAGUAUAGUUUAGCCUCGACACCAAAAACCUUGUAGAUAAAUACUUGUGUUAUUUAAAGGGUUCUUAAAAAAACAUUUUAAGGUGUUUCCGUAGUGCUUUAGGAAAUGAUCAAAGAGGUAAAAACUAGUUUUUUUAAAAUCCCUUACCAAACGUUGUAAUGGACCACAAAAUUGUUGUUUUUCCUUAUAAAAACUUCAUCGACAGCUUCUUUAACGAUACGAAAUUGGUAUUGACUUUUAGGGAGAUUUUCAGAUAGGUAAUUAAAUUACUAAAAUACAAAAACAAACCAUUUAGUACUGCAAAUAUUAGACUUGUAGAUAUUUUUUUAUAUUAUAUCUUUUGAUUUUCUGAAAAAAAAAAUUUCGGGGGGGGGGGGUUAAACCCCCAAACCCCCCCCUAAAUACGGCUAUGUGUAUCACAAUCGAACCAUUUCCACUUUUUGACAUUCCACUGAUGUUCAAUUCGAGAUCAGCUGGGUCAAUGUUUUCUUUUAUAAUUUCUUUUGUCUUUUCACUGUUUUGUUGAACAUUCUCAUUUGGCUUCACAAUAACGGACGGCACAAUUUUUAUUGCAACAUCUGCAUGUUUUUCUUUUCUUGUCCAAUAUGUUUGUCUCUUUUUCACUAAGGCUUUUAACAUUUUUAAUUAUGUUCUUUAUCUCAUCUUGUUUCGCUAAAGCUAUUUUAUAGCGUUUUCGUUUGGUAAUUCUUAGAACAGUCCGGGACUGUCCGAUCCGGAAUGCCAAACGAACAAACAUGGAUACUUCUUUUUGAUUCUGAAGUUUGGGUUUCUUUGUAUUUGUGAAAUGCAAAAUGCGAAUGUCUGAUGAAAGUUUUUUUUUUUUUGUUUUUGCUUAUUUCGUAAAAAGUUAUGUUUUAUUUUUGUUUUCUUCACUUUAUUUUAAUAUAAUUUAAAGUUUGGCUUCUUAAAAAAUCUUUAUUUUCAGAAAUGAACAAUAAACAAUAACAUUUCAUUACUUUGACGUCUUAAGUGUGAAUAUGUGUGCGUGAUUCUCGUUUUGAUUCUGCCUUAAAAUUCGGAAUCGAUUUUCGCUUCUUUUCAGCAUUAGAACUGUCAUUGUCAUUUUUUUUUCACACGCCGCACGGUUGUACAAAAUGACUUAUCUCGUUGCAAAAAUCAUAACUUUUGAAUUGAGGUAGCGGUACAAUUAUUUUUUAAUUUGAAGGAAAUUUCCAGGGCUGUUACACCAAUGAAUUUCAAGAAAAUUGGUUCACAGGGUGUUUAGAAAUCAUCGGCCGAAAACAGGUUUUCUUUAAAAAAAAUGUUUAAAUUAAAAUUGGUAUGGCACUUUGUAGAAAUCACUAGUCCACAUCUAAAAACAAAAUUUCAAAAAAAUACAAUGUCCCGUUUUCGAAAAUUUUAUUUUUCAAAAAAAAAUGUUCAAAAUUUUUUUAAAAAAACAAAAAUUAUUUUUUUUUGAAAUUUUUGGCUUAUAUUUGAGUUAUAUAAGUGCUUCUUCACAAAAAGUUUCGUUGAAAUCGAACAAGCCGUUUCGGAGAAUAUCGGAUUUAAAAAAAAACGGUUCUAUGGCAGGUACCGUUAAUAAUCCAUUCGAGUUCAUGCUUUAAGCCGAAUAGGGUAUGUGUACCAACCAAUUUUUGAGCUAAAAUAAAAAUAUUUAGCUCCAGCCUGCAGCUGCAUUCAAUAUCUUAAGAAAUGUCAAGACAAAUAACAGUUAUCCACUUUUCAGACCUAUACAAUGAUUGCGUGCACAAACAAGAAAAACAUGCAAGCUUUUGCAAAGGAAAUUCACAUUAUAGAGUCUAAAAAUUUUCGAAAUUCACAUUACAGAGAUGACAAUGAAAAUUUUUGGCGAUUCACAUUUUAGAGAAAUUCGCAUUAUCGGUAAUUCACAUUAUCGAGGGACUACUGUAGUAAUGCUAUCAACGAUUUUAAGGUUUUAAUUUUUAGAAGAAAUAUUCUCCAUUGUAACUGCGUUUACAAGUUUUUUUAUCUUUUCUUAUUGGUCAGAUAUUAUUUUUUGAAGGAUGUUCCGUUGUUCUUGUGCGUGAUAAUUUUUGAUAAAUUUGGCGACAAAAUGAAGAUUUAUUUAAUAUGCUAUUUAUAUCAUCAGAUCCACUUGUUUCAUCUUUAAGACACGUUAGAUUCAAAAAAGAGCUUAAGAAAAGCUACUGUCCAGAGCUGAUUAAUCUAAUAUUAAAAGUGAUGAUGAUGGCAUUGAACUUCUUACUAAAAAUUUAUAAAUUAUUGUUUAAGAUAUUUUAUGUAUAUUUUUACAUAGGUACUAUGGGUCAAAAUCAUGGAGGUGGAAAAUUUGAUGUCCAGGCAUUUUUUCAAAUCAAAAUAACAUUUAUUUAAAGUUUUUUUCUCAUUUACCAAUUAAAAUAGUAGGCACGCAUAUACGAAUAUAUUUGUUUCGGUUAGAAAAGUUUAAAUUUCUUUUUUAUUUGAAAUAUUUUUUAAAAAUACAAAAAGGGUGUUUUUUGAAAAAAUUUUAGAUUUUUUAAAUAAUUAUGCUUAAACGUUUCUGUAUAAAAAUUGUGGUCGAAAUAUAUUUUGUCGUUUACGAGAAAUUCAUAAAUCAAAAAAACGGUUCUAUGGCAGGUACAAAAAAUAUUUUUUUUUAUUACGAAGAAAGCUUUUAUGUGUUUCACUACGCACAAAAAUUUUAAUCAAAAUCGUUAGAGCCGUUUUUGAAAAAAAUUAAAUUUUCUAUUUCUUAUAACUUUAAACGAGCUAAAAUUGUUUAUACAUAUAUGUAUAUAUAAAUAUAUAUAUGUAUAUAUAAAAUUGGGAUCUCGGAAACGGCUCUAACGAUUUCGAUGAAAUUUUCAGGGUUUGUUCAUCUGUUUGUGAGUAAAAAGUUUUGUAAGUAUUUUUGGAAAAAUCCGCAAACUGCCACGCCUACUUUUUCAACAUAUAAGUUUUUUCGGGAACGGCUCUAAAGAUUUCGAUGAAAUUUUUAGGGUUUUUUAUCUAAGCGAGUUAAAAGUUUUGGAAGUAUUUUUGGAAAAAUCCGCCCACUGCCACGCCCACUUUGUUAACAUAGAAUUUUGUUUUUGUAACAACUUUAAAAAUUUCGAUGAAAUUUUGAGGGUUUGGUCCUCUAGGCGAAUAAAAUAUUUUGGAAUUACUUUUAGAAACAUCCGCCCACAGCUACGUUUAUUUUUCUCACAUAUAAGUUUUAUGCUUAUUGAUUUCGAUGAAAUUUUGAGGGUUUUUUCCUCUUGGCAAAUACAACAUUUUGGAAUUAUUUUGUCUUAUAUAUUAGUUUUUUUUCGCGGAGACAGAUUCAACGAUUUCAAUAACAUUUUGAGGGAUGGUUCCAUGUUUUACGCACUGUUCUUUUUCUAACAAUAACUGAACAACAUUUUUAAGCUCAUGACUUUUUUGAUCAUGUAUUGAAACUCUUAAGUAAUUUGUUAAUUUGGUAUCACUAAUUACACUGUGCAAGUUUUUUGACCUGUCUGAGACAGGUGCGCCAUUAACUGUUUGGCCCUAUUUCGGACCCGAGAAAUCGAUUUGAGAAUUUUCCACUGUUUCUGCUCAAACGUUAUUUGCUACCAGUAGAAAGACAUAAACAAUUUUGAACAAUUUAUUUGAAAGUUUUGUGAUUUUUUUUUGAAAAAAUUUAAUAAAAAUCGAAUUUUUUUACAUUGUUUAUUAAUCCAGGCAAAUAAGGGUUUAACCUCGGAAUGAAUGUUAGUAGAAAUUUUUUUUGGUCAAUAUCUUCCUUUUGCCAUUCUAUAACAUAUCUCAAAAGUCUAGAAAAAUCUCAUGUCCGCUUGUCCCGAUUUCAAGGUCAAAUCGUGAAAUGGAGAUUUUCAAAAUAAGCAAAAACAGGCUAUGGUAUUAUAUACACAUAUGAUACAUGAUUUCAAGGUAUUUUUUAAUGCUGAUUCCAAAAAACCUAAAAUCAAGACAAUCUGACGUCUCUGGAAAAAGUUAUACCUGUUUUUCAUCUGUCAACUCAUAUUAUUAAAACAGUUGCAAACUUACUGCCGAAAAACCCUUAAAAGUUAUGGUAGAUGAACCAAAUUUUGCAUGAAGAUUUUAGAAUUCAUCAUUAUUAAAAAUCAAAACAAUCCAUUACAAAAAAUAUAUAUACCUACGAAAUAAUGGUAUUUUUUAAUGGAGGGGCAAAUUUUAGGAUAUGCACUAAAGAAGAUUCUUGUUCAUCUUAGGAAUAAGUGCUAAUAGGCUAAUUUUUUCAUUUUAAUCUUUGUUUGGAUAUUCUUUAACUACCCUCAAAAGUCUAAAAAAAUCUCAUGUCCGCAAGUCCUAAUUUUCUUGGUUUGAAAAUAAGGUGCAGAUUUUAAAAAAUUAAUAAGAAAAGUUUAAAUUUUUAUAUGUAUACCAACAUAAGCGACAUGAUUUAAAGGUAUUUUUUAACACUUAUUCCAACAAAACUCACAAACAAGUCAACUUGACCAUCCCUGAAAAGUAAUGCACCUUAUUCAUGUUGAUCUGACACAAAUAUCUAAAGUGUAGUUUUUCAAUUUUUUAAAAUCUGCACCUUAUUUUCAAACCAAGAAAAUUAGGACUUGCGGACAUGAGAUUUUUUUAGAUUUUUGAGGGUAGUUAAAGAAUAUCCAAACAAAGAUUAAAAUGAAAAAAUUAGCCUAUUAGCACUUAUUCCUAAGAUGAACAAGAAUCUUCUUUAGUGCAUAUCCUAAAAUUUGCCCCUCCAUCAAAAAAUACCAUUAUUUCGUAGGUAUAUAUAUUUUUUGUAAUGGAUUGUUUUGAUUUUUAAUAAUGAUGGAUUCUAAAAUCUUCAUGCAAAAUUUGGUUCAUCUACCAUAACUUUUAAGGGUUUUUCGGCAGUAAGUUUGCAACUGUUAUAAUAAUAUGAGUUGACAGAUGAAAAACAGGUAUAACUUUUUCCAGAGACGUCAGAUUGUCUUGAUUUUAGGUUUUUUGGAAUCAGCAUUAAAAAAUACCUUGAAAUCAUGUAUCAUAUGUGUAUAUAAUACCAUAGCCUAUUUUUGCUAAUUUUGAAAAUCUCCAUUUCGCGAUUUGACCUUGAAAUCGCGACAAGCGGACAUGAGAUUUUUCUAGACUUUUGAGAUAUGUUAUAGAAUGGCAAAAGGAAGAUAUUGAGCAAAAAAAAUUUCUACUAACAUUCAUUCCGAGAUUUACCCAUUUUUUCUCCUUAUUUGACUGUAUUAUAUCGUUUUUUCGCUGUUUUUGUUCUCUUUUGCACAAAUACAUUGCAUGUUUUCCAUUAAAAAUUAAUUUAACUGUCAAUUUAGUGUUGGUUAAACUUCAACAGUCUAUCGAUAGCAUCGAUAACAAAAAAAUAUCGAGUAUAUCGAUACUUCACAAAACUAUCGAUAGAGUCAAUACUUCCAAAUUAUUUUACCACAAGGCUACCGAUAUUAUCGAUAGUUUUUCUUAAAACUAUCGAUACAAUCGAUAGUGGAAAAUAUCGAUACAAUAGAUAAUGGAAACUAUCGAUAUCUACCAAACACUAUGUUAAUUAGUUGUUUACAUCCAAUGUCAAACGAAAACUAAACUUGUAGUUCAAAUUGUGUUUUUCUCACAUUUUUCAAAAAAAAAGUUGCCAUUUUGAACAAAUAAUUAAUCACAACAAAAACAUUACUGUUAAAAAAAGAGCCAAGUUCUCCUAUGUUGAAAUUAUGCUGGCACAAAAAGUACUGAGAUGUAAAAGUGUACUAAGUUCUAAAGUUCGGGUUCAAAUUCAAAUGUUUGAAAUUUCUAGCAUCUUUGGUGUGGAAGUUAGAGGGGGGUCGAAAAUGGCCUGAGUUGUUUCCUGUAAAUAAGGGUGUAGUGCCAAAGUUGCUAGAGAACUUGGCUGGGCACUACUGUGCCCCUUGAUUUACACUUAAAAACGGAUUUUCAAAAUUUUCCACUAACCGGUUUCCAAAAAAUUGAUUUUUCAAAAAAAAAUUUUGAAAUAUUUUUUAAAAAUACAAAAAGGGUGUUUUUUUGAAAAAAUUUUAGAUUUUUUAAAUAAUUAUGCUUAAACGUUUCUGUAUAAAAAUUGUGGUCGAAAUAUAUUUUGUCGUUUACGAGAAAUUCAUAAAUCAAAAAACGGUUCUAUGGCAGGUACAAAAAAUAUUUUUUUUUUAUUACGAAGAAAGCUUUUAUGUGUUUCACUACGCACAAAAUUUUUAAUCAAAAUCGUUAGAGCCGUUUUUGAAAAAAAUUAACUUUUCUAUUUCCGUUAUAUGACAGGUACCGUUAGUUUUGGUCCUAAAAAAAAGAAUUUCAAUUUUUCCUCUAGGGAAUCACCCCAAACUGUACCAAGUUUAAAGAAAAUAGCUCCAGUAGUUAAGGCUGUAGCUCGAGGUUCCUACAGACAGACAGACAGACAGAAUUGCCGGACCCACUUUUUUGGCAUUCUCCAUCAUCGUAAUGUCAUGUAAAAUUGUUAUCUCGAGUUCGAUUUUUUUUGCGAAUCCUAAACUUGCCCUAUAGUAUCGCAAGUAAAAAAGAAAGAAGUAAAGCAUCCACUGAUACAGAAUAAAACAGAGACAGGGAUAAAAAUAGUUUUUCUUCAUACUAAGCUUUACCGGCAAGGCUAAUUUUGAAAAAAAGAUUAACUUUAUGUUCACUAUCAAAAACUUUCUGACCCAUGAAUUAAAAUUUGAACAAAAAGGGAUCUCAUUGCUGUAGACAUUUUCGAUAAUGCAGAAUUCCUGUUACAGUAACCCUUCUAUCCAUUGCUGACCGUCGCUUGUAUAUUCAAACGUAAAUAAACUGGAUUACUGGGAAUGUGGUGUUUUGUAACCCGCGAAAAAACUGGUCAUUGCAAACUCAAACCCACUCCAAAAAAUUGCUGUUUAGGCCUCAGUUAUAGCUAUCAGUAAAAUCCAUCAUUAAAAAUUUUGUUUAGCUAUUUUGAAUACUUUAAACUUUUAUUUUGAACAAAAUAUUGAUGAAAUAAGUUGAAAGCUCAUUUUUACUAAUUUUUUCAAAAAGAAGCAUUGCAUUUGGUGUUAAAUUUUAUUCACAAAUCCAAUUUAUAAAUUUUACUGAUGAAGUUUCAUUUUACUGAACAACUGUUUUCCAAAUGCCAAAAAAAAAAUCCGUUUUGUUUUACUGAUGGCGUUUCAUUUUUACUGUUCCGGUGCCAUCAUUAAAAAAAUUACUGAUGCAAUGAUCAGUAAAAAAAUAGUUUGGCGAGCGAAUGGUCAAAUAAACAUUAUAAUUUAAUGAAGUAAAUUUACUGAUUGCUAUGAACGCUCAUCAGUAAAACAUUUCAGAUUCCUGAUGGUGCAAUUUUCAAUGAUGGAUUUUACUUAUAGCUAUAACUGAGGCCUCACAUUUGACUUUUAUCACUGAAAGUUAUAACAUUUAAAGAUACCGAGCAAAGCUCGGUCAACCAGGUACUUCCAUUUUAUAUACCCAAAAACAGCGUUCCCGGACAUGUCCAUAACUCAAAAACUGAUAUUCAAAUGACUUAAAAACACAUUAAAGUCAACUAUUUUUAAGUAUUUCUUUUCUUAAUACUACAUAUAAACAAUACUUUUUAUAAAUUGGUACAUCUCGACUUCGAACAAAAUUUUUUUUGAAAGUUUUUUCAAUUAUUUUGAGAGUUUCCCACUGUUUUUAGUCAUUUUUCAACCAAAAACAAUAUUUAUAUUGCUAAUAAUUCUGCUCAAACGGUAUUUGCUACCAGUACACAGUGGGUCACCUCCCAUACAAAGUGCGGUCAAAAAUUUAAUAACCAUUUUUUUUUUAAUGAAACACCUGUAUUAUCAUUUUAUAUGAUUUAUUAUUGCAAAAAAAUGCAUCAAGUCAGUUUUUUAAAAUUUUGGUUAUUUUCAAGAAAAAUAAAAAAAGGUAAAAAAAAAAAUUUUUUUGAAAAUAUAAAAAAAAAAAUGGUUAAUGUCGGAAAUGGACCUGCCUGUCAGUCGAGCACUUUACCCUUACCCUCUAGUUCAGUCUUUUAUAAAAAUAAUAGUGCCAAAAAGGAUUUUUUUUAGUUUUACGUUGUAAUUUUUUUUUUCUUCGUGUAUCGUCAUUUAAACUCGUAUUACUCGAAAAGGGGAAAAAAGGGGAAAAAACGGCGCUUUUAUUUCGAAAGGUAGGACGGUAUUCUUCAUUUGAGAACUUAAAUUGUAGAGGGCACUCGAAGGCAAACCAACUAAAUCUCUAAUUUAAUGAAAAUUGAGCUAAAUAAAAAUGGUUAAAAUUGCUUCGCUAACGAGCCCCAUUACAAUUAGCCUUAAUGUUAUUUAACAAUAUAAUUUAUGUUUUUAGAAAGUAUUAACCUUCUCGUUUAAUAUCCAUAACAAUUUAAUACUGUUCACAAUUUUUAACACCCGCUAUCACUAUCGCAAGUUCACACCUUAUAACUGCAGCGAUUAAAAAACUGUACCCUUUUUUAUAUACCGACUUUGAAUGGCUAUUAAGAAAUGAAAAAAAGGGUAACCGUCAAAUUUUUUUUGGUUUUGGUUCGAUGGGAGAUUGUAGAACGUUGUUUAAUCAUUAGAUUUUAAAAAAUUGACAUUUACUUUUUUUAUUUUUGACCUAUGGCGGGACCCACUGUGCAGUAGAAAGACAUUAUAAUCAAUUUUGAACAAUUUAUUUGAAAUUUUAGUGAUUUUUUUUUUUUUUAUUGAAAAAAAAAUUGAAAUUUUUUACAUUGUUUAUCGUUUUUUUUUCGCUGUUUUUGUUCUCUUUGCACAAAUACAUUGCAUGUUUUCCAUUAUAAAUUAAUUUAACUGUUAAUUUAGUGUUGAAUAAACUUCGACAGUCUAUCGAUAGCAUCGAUAACAAAAAACAUCGAUACUUCACAAAACUAUCGAUAGUUUAAUACUUCCAAAUUAUUUUACCACAAGGCUACCGAUAUUAUCGAUAGUUUUUUUCUUAAAACUAUCGAUAAUGGAAACUAUCGAUAUCUAUCAAACACUAUGUUAAUUUGUUGUUUACAUCCAAUGUCAAACGAAAACUUAACUUGUAGUUCAAAUUGUGUUGAAUUAAUUUCAAAGCUAUUUUUUUUUAUGAGAAAUUGUACGAGUGGUUUUAAAACUUUUUGCUACGUAUGAAAAAUAUUUCAAUUUAAAAGUUAUAAGAGACGUCGAAUGGGCACCAAGCAUUAUUUGUUCAAAUUGUUAUAAUAAGCUUAUCUAAUGGUCAAGUCUGGGUUUUGGAGUCCAGAUCCAAAAGAUCACAGUGAAGGUAACUGCUACGCAUGUGUAAAUAAAUUCGCCAGAUUAACUCGUUGCAAAACUAUUUACAAAAGUGUUCCGUGCGCUCAAAUGCCAAUACCUCAUUUAGAUGACAUACCGAUUCCAAAGUGUCCAAGUCCAUCUGAUGAAUAUAUACCACCUUCCUUUCAAUCAAAGCCAGAAUCAUCACUUUCGGCUUAUCAACCUUGUGAAUUAGAAAAGACUUGUAAUCAUGUUGAGAUUUCUCAAACGCGUUUAAAUAUAAUGGUACGACAGCUAAAAUUGUCGCAAAGGCAAUUGCAACGAAAAAAAUUAAACACAAUUUGAACUACAAGUUAAGUUUUCGUUUGACAUUGGAUGUAAACAACGAAUUAACAUAGUGUUUGGUAGAUAUCGAUAGUUUCCAUUUUAAGAAAAAACUAUCGAUAAUAUCGGUAGCCUUGUGGUAAAAUAAUUUGAAAGUAUUGAAACUAUCGAUAGUUUUGUGAAGUAUCGAUAUACUCGAUAUUUUUUUGUUAUCGAUGCUAUCGAUAGACUGUCGAAGUUUAAACAAUACUAAAUUAACAGUUAAAUUAAUUUUUAAUGGAAAACAUGCAAUGUAUUUGUGCAAAAGAGAACAAAAACAGUGAAAAAACGAUAAACAAUUUCGAUUUUUUUUUUCAAUUAAAAAAAAAAAAAAACUAAACUUUCAAAUAAAUUGUUUAUAAUGCCUUUCUAAUGGUGGCAAAUAACGUUUGAGGCUAAUAAUUAGCAAUAUAAAAUUUGUUUUUGGUUGAAAAAUGACUAAAAACAGUGAAAAAUUCUCAAAAUAAUUGAAAAAACUUUCAAAAAAAAUUUUGUUCGAAGUCGUACCGACAAAUCGAAAAACUAAUGACGCCAAUCGAUUUCUCGGGUCCGAAAUAGGGCGAAACAGUUAAUCGCGCACCUGUCUCAAAAAUUUUUUUCAAAAAACUAAAACAGUGAAAAAUUCUCAAAAUAAUUGAAAAAAACUUUCAAAAAAAUUUUUGUUCGAAGUCGUACCGACAAAUCGAAAAACUAAUGACGCCAAUCGAUUUCUCGGGUCCGAAAUAGGGCGAAACAGUUAAUCGCGCACCUGUCUCAAAAAUUUUUUUCAAAAAACU